rnacentral:rRNA from 1 species
GACGAACGCUGGCGGCGUGCUUAACACAUGCAAGUCGUACGGUAAGGCCCUUUCGGGGGUACACGAGUGGCGAACGGGUGAGUAACACGUGAGUAACCUGCCCACAACUUUGGGAUAACGCUAGGAAACUGGUGCUAAUACUGGAUAUGUGCUCCUGCUGCAUGGUGGGGGUUGGAAAGCUCCGGCGGUUGUGGAUGGACUCGCGGCCUAUCAGCUUGUUGGUGGGGUAGUGGCCUACCAAGGCGGCGACGGGUAGCCGGCCUGAGAGGGUGACCGGCCACAUUGGGACUGAGAUACGGCCCAGACUCCUCCGGGAGGCAGCGGUGGGGAAUAUUGCACAAUGGGCGCAAGCCUGAUGCAGCAACGCCGCGUGCGGGAUGACGGCCUUCGGUUUGUAAACCGCUUUCAGCAGGGACGAAGCUUUUUGUGCCGGUACCGGCAGAAGAAGCACCGGCUAACUACGU